GAAACUCUACAACUUACAAUUUCUCUUGAACAGGUAUUUCACCUCUCAGAGUAUUCUUUGAAUCUAUUAACACAAGAAGCGGCAGCUUCAAACAACAGAAUAGAAAAUUAGGUGUUGAAUUUAUAUAUAAAAGAGCUUUGUUUUUCUAACUCCUAAACAAAAAAGGACAUAUUCUGAUAGUGUUAUUAGUGGUAAAGAAAUAGAGUUAGAUUCUUCUCCGAAUUGUCUGUCCAUUAGUUUCUUCAUACUACAGUUUGGAAGAAUUUGGAGGAGCCUUCUAAUGACUGCUAGAGUUCUUUCCUUUUUAGUCAGGUCAUUCUUUGUUUUGAAUGAAAAUUUUCUUAUUUUUUUCCAUGUUAUAUCUCAAAACUCACAAGUACUAUCUUCUGACAUGUUAAGUCGUGCUGAUUAUAUUUUCCCUGUCUGAAGUAGACCUCUUGAACAUGUCAACCUAGGCAUCUGCUGUGAUUUUCACUAGCUUUGAUUGAGUACAUAUUGCAGUCUGUUUGUUUUGAAGUAGGUGUAUUGUGAUUAAAAUAGGGAAUACCAUGUAUUUUAACAAAAAAUUGUUUAUCUAAACAAGUAUAUAUGCAGCAUUACAAAUAUAUCCAGAAAGAUAUUAUAGCAUUCGCCCGGGAGACCAAGAUGCAAAGUGUCAAGAAGCAGUGUAAUAUAAAAAGCACAUCAUUUGUCUGAGCUAGCACUUACUGAGAAGAUAUUCGUGCAAACAGCAAAAUCUGACAUCCAGCAACAGGUAAGGGAGCCUGAAAGAGAGAUGAAAUGAAGUAUUCAAACUAAUGAAGCAGACAGUCUGCAUCGAGGUAUAUAUUUUGUCAGUAGUUCCAUCGAAAAUACCAUGUAAAAAUGUUAUCCUUCUACCUACUGAUUUAGCAAGCUUGAACACUAUCAAUGUGCUGUAAUGUCAAUCCCUCCGGUAUACAUGUAAUGCCAUGAUUUUCUUAUCCACACACCUACUGCUGUAAAAAGCCAGUACACUACCAAUGAACCCUGACAUAAAGAUAUAAUCUUUUUUUAGUCACUACCUCUGAAACCUCUCAUUCUGUCCAUAUGCUCCCAAAAUCCAUUGCUUCAGUUGCUUUACAUCCAUUUGUCCCUUUUUUAAAUAAAUCAUUUAUAUUCCUUAUUAAAGAAUCAUCAAGAACAGUGAUUAUGUGGAUUGGUUGUAACAGAUUUUGUUCACUCAUUUUAUCCUAUGCUACAGGCUGAAUGUCUACAGAAAGAGGAAUUACACUGACUGUUCCAGUUCCUAGAGUGCUUUGUUAGAGCCAAGGAGAAGGAUCCCUUAGAGAGGGAGAAAAGAGGCAUGUGACAUGGCUCCGCAAAGAGACAUAAUUGACAUGUAAUACGCCAAGGAAAGCAUCGAAAUAAAGAGAUGACACAGAAACAUUGUAUUUAAUUAGGCCAUCUAUUGAGGAAUAUACAUACAUGUUUCCAGUACUGAAACUCACUUUGUCGAUUUUGUAAUGUAUCAAAAUUGAUGUUAGCGAACAUGGUACUUUGCUACAGGAUCUCAUUGCACCUAA